rnacentral:rRNA from 1 species
UACGGAGGGGGCUAGCGUUGUUCGGAAUUACUGGGCGUAAAGCGCACGUAGGCGGCUUUGUAAGUUAGAGGUGAAAGCCCAGGGCUUAACCCUGGAAUUGCCUUUAAGACUGCAUCGCUAGAAUCGUGGAGAGGUGAGUGGAAUUCCGAGUGUAGAGGUGAAAUUCGUAGAUAUUCGGAAGAACACCAGUGGCGAAGGCGACUCACUGGACACGUAUUGACGUUGAGGUGCGAAAGCGUGGGGAGCAAACAGG